rnacentral:lncRNA from 1 species
CGACAGAUGAGUUAGAGUGGUGGGCAGUAUCAUUACCUUCUCGUCUGGAAAACACUCUGCUUCAUGACAUCCACUAAUCGAGAGGCUUUGAAGAGGGGUAUACCUGUACAAGCCCCACUGGGUGAGUGCCUUUACAGUAAUUGCAGGCAUAACACAUCAAUUGCAAGUACUCCCAGGAUUUGUGUGGUGAAAAAUGAAGGCUUCGGAGCAAGUGUACCUCCAAAUGAUCCUCAAACGCCUAUCGCAUUGCAUGGCUUCGAUACUGUCAGAGCUCCCCUU